rnacentral:sRNA from 1 species
GGCAUUUCAAGUGGGUCUGAGACGAAACUACUAACAGCAGACCACAAGCGGGAAGCCCUUGAGCUUAUGUUUGAUGCGAGAGGUCUGCCGCAACGUCGUGCCUGCAGGCAUACUGGUU